AAACAAUCUUUUGGAGGACGAGGAAAUGCAUUCAAUGUCAAGUGCAGUAGAAUACGAAGAUAUGGAAGAUGACACCAUAACAGAAAACAAGAAAGAUGUGAAGAAAAGGAGAACAAAAGGGAUAAAGAAAAAAAGAAAGAAGAAUAAAUUAAAAUUACAACUGGAAACGUCCGAGUUCAUAGAAUCCUUACACGAGACAUUAGGUAUGUUUUGUCUUGCACUAAUGAUAAAGUACUU